rnacentral:tRNA from 1 species
GCCUGAAUGGCUCAGUCAGUUGAGCGUCCGACUUUGGCUCAGGUCAUGAUCCCAUAGUCCGUGGGUUCAAGCCCCACAUCGGGCU